rnacentral:tRNA from 1 species
GGAAGAGUGGCAGAGUGGUCGAUUGCACCGGUCUUGAAAACCGGCGAUUCGCAAGGAUCCGUGAGUUCGAAUCUCACCUCUUCCGCCA